rnacentral:tRNA from 1 species
CUAGGCAUAGCUCAAGUAGGUAGAGCACUUGCUUUGGGAGCAAGAGGUUGGGGAUUCGAGGUCUCCUGCCUAGA